AUAAUGUUGUCGUGCAAUGCUUGUCGCUAAAUUACGUGCUUUUUAAUGCCAUUUGUCUUGUUAUAACACACUGUAAUACUCUACAGCAGGCAAAAAAUAAAAUAAAACCAUUAGUAAUUUGAGCAAGUGGCACCUCCGAGGCUGUGUCAAUGCAACCGUCUUUCCUUCACCUCAGGAUAUGAAUUUAGUGUGUGUGUGUGUGUGUGUGUGUGUGUGUGUGUGUGUGCACAGUCCCUGCAACACACACUGACAGGAAUGGUACAUCACUGCAGUGCAACACGUCCCCGUGGGUGCCGUGAGGACACAGGCGUGCACCACACGGCUGCCUGGCGGCCCACUGGUGAGCCUCGUGUUGUCUGGCGUGGACGAGAGGCUGCUGGAGGAGGCGGCCCAGAUAGCACAGCUCCUGCAGCCCACACAGCGCCCAUACUGGAGCAUCAGGUUCCCCGGCAGCAGCAUGAAGGCAGAUGUGUGGCGGCGCUGCCUUCACAAGCUGGCCAAUGCCGGCGUCACGGUGGAUGGUGAUGUUGGUGGUGGUAUUGUAGCACCGGACACCAGCCCCAUCACGGAGGAGGAGCACAGGGAGCUGCGCACCCUUGCCAGCACCACGAUGUUAGGUGCCUUCACCAGAUGGCCUGAAGAGGACCUGUGGUGGGAGUUCGUGUAAUCCCCGUGACGGCCAGACUCAUCGGUGCUGGAAGUGCAUCCACUCACGAGGCAAACACCUGGGCUGCAUUUAUCCUACUGCAUUGUGUGUGUACAAGUCAAGUACAAGUGUGGCGCUCUCUCUCUCUCUCUCUCUCUCUCUCUCUCUCUCUCUCUCUCUCUCUCUCUCUCUCUCUCUCUCUCUCUCUCUCUCUCUCUCUCUCUCUCUCUUUCUCUGAUGAUUAAAAUUAUAUUCUUAAGUUUGUUAGAAUUCUUAAGUCUUGAUGUAGUUUCUCUCUCUCUCUCUGGAUUCAAAUUAUAUUUUUAAGUUUGUUAGAAUUCUUAAGUCUUGAUCUCUCUCUCUCUCUCUCUCUCUGUCUGUCUGUCUGUCUGUCUGUCUGUCUGUCUGUCUCUCUGUCUCUCUCUCUCUCUCUCUCUCUCUCUCUCUCUCUCUCUCUCUCUCUCUCUCUCUCUCUCUCUCUCAUGAUUGAAAUUAUAUUCUUAAGUUUGUUAGAAUUCUUAAGUCUUGAUUUAGUUUCUCUCUUUCUCUCUCUCUCUCUCUCUCUCUCUCUCUUACCAUUAAUACCGAUAAAACAUACUUUAUGUUGUUUUCAUUAAAAAAAUAUCACCAUCUACCUCCACUCCAGAUCAAUAAUAAUAAUAUCUCAAGAUCCUCACACAUUAAAUUCCUUGGUGUAACCUAUGACGAUUCCAUGACCUUUAAACUUCACAUUGAAAAUCUCACCCUAGGAAUAUCCUGACAUAUUGCCUUACUCCAUCAGAGUAAAGACUUCAUGCCUCCAUACGUACUGAAGUGUAUUUAUUAUGCUCACAUCUACCCACUACUUGCCUAUUGCAAUCCAAUAUGGUGCACCACUUAUCCUACCUAUCUGAUACCACUUCAACUCCAACUUUAAAAAAUUGUUAGAAUAAUCACAAAUAGCACGUACUUAGAACAUACACGACUCCUAUUUAAACAAACUCAGUUGCUAAGACUAGAGGACAAAACAAAAAUGGCUAUAUCCAUUCAAAUGUAUAAAAAAAUGUAUUCUAUGCAAAACGAUGCCCCCAUCCAUAAUCAUGAUACACGUCACUGUGGCCAACUACGUCCUCCUCCCCAUCGCAUCUCAAAGUACCGUCAAUCUACAUUAUACUUAGGACCUGUUUACUGGAACGAUAUCCCUCCUAACAUUAGAAAUUCACCAUCUGUAGCUACCUUCAAAAACAAACUAAAACAACACAUAAUAAGUAACUACUAAUAAAUACUAAUUAAUGUUGACUCCCAUCACUGUACCCAACUCCUUGUAUGUGGCCAUGUCUAUAAAUUAUAACUUAUUAUAUUUAUAUAUCAUUAUUGUAUACGCACUAUGGCAUCAUGUAUUAAAUUCAUAAUAAUUAUCUAAAUUAUUUUUUCAUUAUAUUAAAUUUUGUACUCUAUUACUUGUUCCAUUCUUUAUGCCAAUAGAUCAAUAUCUAUAUGCAGACCCCAAUGUAUGUAUUACUUUUUUUUUUAUAUAUAUAUAUGUUACUUUUCUUUAAUUUCUUUUAUUAUUGUUUACAUACACAGGUGUAUGAUCGUUUAUGCAGAUGUAUGUAUCACUAAAUUUUCUCACUGCUGUAUAAGAAAAUGUUGUUGAUAUCUAUUUAAUCUUAUAAAUACCCUUAGAAUCCUAUGCAACAUUUAAAAUUAUUCUGUACAACAUUUAAGUACUUACUGUGUAUUGUACCUUAUAUUAAGUCCAGUUUUGUUAGCUUAGGUUUAGUUAUAUUAUAGUUUUAGUUUUGCCUGAAAAGCUUACGCUUAAAAAAAGGCUAGCCAUAAUAAAAAAAUUUAUGGAAUAUAAAUAUACAAUGUAUGUAAUGGCUAUAAAUAAAUGUUCAAUGUUCAAAUGUUCUCUCUCUCUGCUGAUUCAAACUAUAUUCCUAAGUUUGUUAGAAUUCUUAAGUCUUGAUUCUCUCUCUCUCUCUCUCUCUCUCUCUCUCUCUCUCUCUCUCUCUCUCUCUCUCUCUCUCUCUGAUGAUUCAAAUUAUAUUCUUAAGUUUGUUAGAAUUCUUAAGUCUUGAUGUAGUUUCUCUCUCUCUCUCUCUCUCUCUCUCUCUCUCUCUCUCUCUCUCUCUCUCUCUCUCUCUCUCUCUCUCUCUCUCUCUCUCUCUCUCUCUCUCACUCUCUCCCUCUCUCUGUGUGUGUGUGUGUGUGUGUGUGUGUGUGUGUCCGUGGUGGUGUUUGGGUGAAGUUGUGUUGGUAAGGUGGUGGCGAGUGUGAGUGUGAAGUGUCGGUGUGCAGUGUGUGUGAGAGCCAAGUGUCAGUUAGGAUCACGUUAGUACAAGGUGGGCCCAAGCAAAGUUGUGGUGCAGUUUGCAAUGAUUGUUGAUGGUGCACGUGCAGUUUUCCUCGUGGCAAAGUUCACGCCAGAAGUGAGAGAGUCAAGUCACCACAAGACAAGGCUCAGUCUUCUGUCGUGAAGUCUGCGGUGACUGCUGCUAUCACUUCCCACCUGCAGUAUAUACCUUUUAGCAAAGUUUACUUACAAGUUGUAAGUCACCACAAACCCGGGACUCAACACUCUAUUCUUUAGUGCCUGAUGAUUCUUAAUUGUUCAUCUGCAGUUUGUGUUGCAGCAACGGUUGCGCCAAAACUAUGUUAGUGCGCGCCGAGGAUGCAAGAUGAUUGAUUGUCAGUGUUGCGUGCGGUGCGUGUGUUUAGGCCAAGUGUAAGUGACGGCUGAGUUAGUGCAAGAUAAGGCUGAGUAGUGUUCUGUUCUGAAGUGUGAGGCGGUUCUUGGGGUCACUUCCCACCUGCAGUAUGUCUUGUGGCAAAGUUGAAGCUGAGAAUUAAGUUAGUACAAGCGGAGGAUUCAAGUGAUUUGGUUCACCUCACGGUGAUUCUUAAUGUUUGUUGCACCUGCUGUUUGUCUUUAGGCUAAGUUAAGUUACAACUAAGCUGAGUUACAACCACAAGCUGAGGGUGAAGGCUGCUGGCUGCUGCUGCUGCAUGCAGUCUUCACCUCAACUUGGUCAGGUUGAUGCUUUCUUCAUUUCUGUGUUGAGUUUCAAGUUUACUACAAGUGGUGGCAGGUUUGUCACGUUCUCGUAAGUGGAUGCACGGGUGUGAGUGUGGCGGCGGUGGUGGUGGUGGUGGUGGUGAGAGCCGUGCAUUCCCCAGGGAAGGGGGAACGCCCGCCACGUGCAAGUGUGGCGAGGAGCUUCACCACAAACACUGUAUUCUCUGUACCACACAAGGCUGAUUCCCUAAUUAAAAGCUGUAGUACAA